AACUCAGGAAAAAGGUGGCAAAUGAAACUGCUGAUUCACUUUUUUCAUUACUUCCAAGGGAAUCACUGGAUUUUCUGGAACCCAUUUCAGUUCUGAGGCACCACCAGUAUUGGGAAACUGCUUUGAGACAGUCACCAGGGCAACAGGGAAGAUGGUGCCUCCACACUUCAACAUUAAGCAGGUUCCCUUUGCCCUGACACACUCUGAAAGCACUGCCAGCAGAAGAGACCUAUCCAUCUCCUCUCUUGAAUAAAAACAUGAGCUAUUGAAGAAAGUAUUUAAACACAGUGGACUAUAUAAGAUAGCACUGUUGUAACUUGCCAGGGAGUGACACUUCCUCAAAGUAAUGCAAAGACGUGAGGCUGUUUGAAGCUUCUUACUCAAACAAAACUAUUUCUUUCACCACGAUGGAGAACUUGAGAUGCUUUUCCAGAUUCCAAGUGGAAAGUUGAAGACUAUAAAUCAUUCCUUGCCUCUAAACUUCUCCCCUCACCAGGCUGGCAUAUCACUAAAUGACAUGAUUUGUACCACUUUCUAAGUCUGUUUCAGAGAAAUGAAGAAAAGAACAACAGGGAGGCAAGGCAAACAACUGCAAGAAGAA